UUAUUAUGACGUAACACUAUUAUAGAUACAUUCAAUUAUUUUCAAUUUUCAUUAUUUAUUUAUUCAAGUUUGAAGCGCUUAGGAGAAAAUUAAAUUUUUAAAAGCUGAAACAUGUAGCCUUAUUCUCAAGAAUAUAGAACCGUGAUGUUUGUGCGAAUGAUCCAAUUAUCAAUGUGCAUAACUUGCAUCGUGGUUAUGGAAAUAUUGCAUGCUGUUUUGGAUAAAGGAAUAUAUGCUCUGCUGAUAUUUCUCAAUUUUUCAUUGCAGUUUGUUCGGGAAAUGGCAGAUGACUGUCUCGCUAUCACCACAAGGCAAAUCAAAACCAAGAAGCAGUCAUAGAAGCACAAAUAUCUGCGGAGUUUACACGGAAUUCUCAGAAAAGUGUUAAUAUAUGUAAAGUUAAUAUAUGUAAACUACUUUUUCCAUUGUAUUUCUGUGCUAAUACCGUCCAACUGAAAAAGUCUAACAUCAAAA